AUUGAACGCUGGCGGCAUGCUUUACACAUGCAAGUCGAACGGCAGCACGGACUUCGGUCUGGUGGCGAGUGGCGAACGGGUGAGUAAUGUAUCGGAACGUGCCCAGUCGUGGGGGAUAACGUAGUGAAAAUUACGCUAAUACCGCUUACGAUCUAUGGAUGAAAGCGGGGGAUCGCAAGACCUCGCGCGAUUGGAGCGGCCGAAAUACGAUUAGGUAGUUGGUGGGGUAAAGGCCCACCAAGCCAACGAUCUGUAGCUGGUCUGAGAGGACGACCAGCCACACUGGAACUGAGACACGGUCCAGACUCCUACGGGAGGCAGCAGUGGGGAAUUUUGGACAAUGGGCGAAAGCCUGAUCCAGCCAUUCCGCGUGCAGGAUGAAGGCCCUCGGGUUGUAAACUGCCUUUGUACAGAACGAAAAGGUUUCUACUAAUACUAGGAGCUCAUGACGGUACUGUAAGAAUAAGCACCGGCUAACUACGUGCCAGCCGCCGCAGUAA
rnacentral:rRNA from 1 species